GGUCCUGCGCUGCUGGAGGGCAGGGCUGGACACACAGCGGAUGCCAGGCGGAUGUCAGGUGUCCAGGGAGCAGCAGGCAGGUUCUUGUCUCUGGCUGUGCUGCGGAAGCCUGGGGUCUCCCAGACCCCUGACAAAGGCUCCUGGGGGGAUGGGGAUGCUGAAGGUUUUGCUGGGCUCCUUACCAAGCUGGUGAGAGCCCACCUUUUACACAUGAGGAAGCCAAGACCCAGGAAGGUGAGGUCGCUUGCCCAGGAUCACCCCGCUGGAAACUUCAGGCCCUGGGUUGUCCAGAACAAGGUCCACGUGAAGCCGCAAAGCAACUGCACAGGAUCGUCAUCCAAGCUGGCUGCUGUGGCCAUGAGCCUGCCUGUACCAGGGGGUUCCGGAAACCUGCGUGCACCCAGACCUUCACACACGGAUGCUGGUUCUGCAAGCCCCGCGGGUUCUGGUGGAGACAUUAACAAGGGCAGCGCUGCCUCUCUGAGCCCAGCCCUGGGCCCCACACUGGCCUGAGCACCCACACGUGUUUCAUCAUAGGGCCUUCUAGGCACCCUCCCUGGGGUGGGGGCUGCUGCUUUUUCCGUUUUCAGGUGGGGAAAGAGAGGCUCAGAGAGGUGUGGUGACUUCCCUUAGGUCCCACCUCGCUGAGUGCCAGAGGUGGGAUCAGAAUCCACUUCUUCUUUUUAAUCUUUUUUUUUUAAUUGAAGUACAGUCAGUUUACAAUGUUGUGUCAAUUUGUAGUAUACAGCAUAAUGUUUCAGUCAUACAUAUACAUACAUAUAUUCCAUUUCGUAUUCUUUUUCAUUAUAGGCCUCUACAAGAUAUCGAAUGUAGUUCCCUGUGCUAUACAGUAGAAACUUGUUUUUCCAUUUUAUAUACAGCAGUUAGUACCUGCAAAUCCUUGAACUCCCAAUUUAUCCCUUCCCACCCCCUUUCCCCCUGCUGGUAACUAUAAGUUUGUUUUCUAUGUCUGUGAGUCUGUUUCUGUUUUGUAAAUAAGUUCAUAUGCAUCUUUUUUUUUAGAUUCCA